rnacentral:rRNA from 1 species
CCUACGGGAGGCAGCAGUGGGGAAUAUUGCACAAUGGGGGAAACCCUGAUGCAGCGACGCCGCGUGAGUGAAGAAGUAUCUCGGUACGUAAAGCCCUAUCAGCAGGGAAGAAAAUGACGGUACCUGACUAAGAAGCACCGGCUAACUACGUGCCAGCAGCCGCGGUAAUACGUAGGGGGCAAGCGUUAUCCGGAUUUACUGGGUGUAAAGGGAGCGUAGACGGCAGAACAAGUCUGGAGUGAAAUCCCGGGGCUUAACCCCGGAACUGCUUUGGAAACUGUGCUGCUGGAGUGCAGGAGGGGUAAGCGGAAUUCCUAGUGUAGCGGUGAAAUGCGUAGAGAUUAGGAGGAACACCGGUGGCGAAGGCGACUUACUGGACUGUAACUGACGUUGAGGCUCGAAAGCGUGGGGAGCAAACAGGAUUAGAUACCCGGGUAGUC